GGCGGACGGGUGAGUAACGCGUGGGUAACCUGCCUUGUACUGGGGGACAACAGUUGGAAACGACUGCUAAUACCGCAUAAGCGCACAGCUUCGCAUGAAGCGGUGUGAAAAACUCCGGUGGUACAAGAUGGACCCGCGUCUGAUUAGCUGGUUGGUGAGGUAACGGCCCACCAAGGCGACGAUCAGUAGCCGGCCUGAGAGGGUGAACGGCCACAUUGGGACUGAGACACGGCCCAA
rnacentral:rRNA from 1 species